rnacentral:rRNA from 1 species
GACGAACGCUGGCGGCGUGCUUAACACAUGCAAGUCGAACGGAAAGGCCCUGCUUUUGUGGGGUGCUCGAGUGGCGAACGGGUGAGUAACACGUGAGUAACCUGCCCUUGACUUUGGGAUAACUUCAGGAAACUGGGGCUAAUACCGGAUAGGAGCUCCUGCUGCAUGGUGGGGGUUGGAAAGUUUCGGCGGUUGGGGAUGGACUCGCGGCUUAUCAGCUUGUUGGUGGGGUAGUGGCUUACCAAGGCUUUGACGGGUAGCCGGCCUGAGAGGGUGAACGGGCACAUGGGGACUACGAUACGGACCAGACUCGUACGGGAGGCAGCAGUGGGGAAUAUUGCACAAUGGGCGGAAGUCUGAUGCAGAAACGCCGCGUGCGGGAUGCCGGCCUUCGGGUUGUAAACAGCUGUCGCCUGUGACGAAGCGUGAGUGACGGUAAUGGGUAAAGAAGCACCGGCUAACUACGUG